rnacentral:lncRNA from 10 species
GCAGGGGUGUGCUCCUGCUGCCCAGGGCCCGCCCUCAGGGAAUUGGCCCUCUGCCAUGAAGGUCACAGAACCUAGGCCACUACUGUGCAAGAGGGCACGGGCUUUAGGCGCUGGCUCAGUGGCCCUGCAGUUUUCUGGCCAAGAGCUCCAUGGCAGCGGGCCCUGGGCCUGGGCCUUUGACCUGGGGCCUCUGUUAGGAGUGGUCCUGAUCCUGCUUCUGGCAGAGGCACACACAGGGCUCCUCCAAGUACAGGCAGCCAGGCUCAGGAUGGGAGGGAGCAGCCAGUCCCAACAAUUACACAGUUCGGGAGCUGAAAAGUUAUGUUUGCCACUCUCAGGAGCCAGCUGUGGAAGGGAGGCCAGUGGAGGGCUUUGCCCUGGCCUCUGAGCCACACACAAGCCGUGCUGGGAGGACAAGGGCCGGGGGUGGUGAAGGACCCUCUUGGAGCCUUUGCUUUCCAGGAGCAGGCACUCGUCUUCCAUAUCACACUCACAAAGGCUGGUGGCUUCAGUGGCUGUGACCAGCUGGCCACAGCUGACUCCUCUGGGGUAGUGCUGUUUCUAAAUAUUAGUUCCUGCUGUUAACCCUUGCUGUGCGGCCCCAGUGGACAGCCGGCUGCCUGCAGACAGAGCCUCUUGGAAGUAGAGUGGACAGUCCCCACCUGGAUGAAAAAUUUCCACCAUGAUCUGAGGAUAAUUAAGUAGACUGUGGAGGUGCCAAUGUGGAGAGGAACUGAAGCCUCUUGCCAGCAGCCAGUAUCAACUCACCACUCAUGUGAAUGAGCCAUCUUGGAAGUGGAUCUGCCAACCCUAAUCAAAUCUUAAGAUUAAUACAACCUCUACUUUUUUUUUUUUUUUUUUUUUUUAAGAUGGAACCUAGCUUUGUUGCCCAGGCUGGAGUGCAGUGGUGUGAUCUUGGUUCACUGCAACCUCUGCCUCCCGGAUUCAAGUGAUUCUCCUGCCUCACCCUCUCGAGUAGCUGGGAUUACAGGCAUGCACCACCAUGUCCAGCUAAUUUUUGUAUUUUUAGUAGAGACGGGGUUUCACCAUAUUGGUCAGGGUGGUCUUGAACUACUAACCUCAAGUGAUCCACCCGCCUUGGCCUCCCAAAGUGCUGGGAUUACAGGCAUGAGCCACCGUGCCUGACCUCUACUGACACCUUGACUGCCACCUCCUGAGAGACCUGGAGCCAAAACCACCCAGCAAAGUCACUUUUAAACUCCUGACCCACAGCAACUGUGUGCAACAGAAGGAAGUUGCUGUUUCAAGCAAUUAUAUUUUGAAAGUAAUUUGUUAUGCAGCAAGAGAUUACUGAUAGAAGCCAGCACAUCGUAGAUGGCAGUCCAGUGAGUCAGACCUGGCACGUGCCUGGGGCUCAGAAAGCAGGACUCUGCUUCCAUGAAAAGAAGUGACAUUCCUUGAUCAACAAAUUCAUUCAUUCAACAAAUAUUUCUUAAGCACAGAUCAUAUGUCAGGCACUAUGCUGAUGCUGAGGGCUGGGGACACAGGUGAAUAAACAGGACCCUGGUUUUGGGGAACUGACAGGCUCCCCAAAGUGACU